rnacentral:rRNA from 1 species
AUACGUAGGUGGCGAGCGUUAUCCGGAAUUAUUGGGCGUAAAGGGUGCGUAGGCGGCACAUUAAGUCUAAGGUUAAAGUUCGAGGCUCAACUUCGGAUUGCCUUAGAAACUGGUGAGCUAGAGUGCAGGAGAGGGCAAUGGAAUUCCAUGUGUAGCGGUAAAAUGCGUAGAUAUAUGGAGGAACACCAGUGGCGAAGGCGGUUGCCUGGCCUGUAACUGACGCUGAGGCACGAAAGCGUGGGGAGCAAAUAGGAUUAGAUACCCUAGUAGUCCACGCUGUAAACGAUGAUUACUAAGUGUUGGAGAAAUUCAGUGCUGCAGUUAACGCAAUAAGUAAUCCGCCUGGGGAGUAUGCACGCAAGUGUGAAACUUAAAGGAAUGGACGGGG